rnacentral:rRNA from 1 species
UACGUAGGGGGCAAGCGUUGUCCGGAAUCAUUGGGCGUAAAGAGCGUGUAGGCGGCUUUACAGGUCCGUUGUGAAAACUCGAGGCUCAACCUCGAGACGCCGGUGGAAACCGUAAAGCUAGAGUCCGGAAGAGGAGAGUGGAAUUCCUGGUGUAGCGGUGAAAUGCGCAGAUAUCAGGAAGAACACCCGUGGCGAAGGCGGCUCUCUGGGACGUGACUGACGCUGAGACGCGAAAGCGUGGGGAGCGAACAGG